CAGCUAAGGUCCAGCCUUCUUUGGCCCGUGUGGGCUCCCGAGAGGGCACUGCAAGGUGGCUGCUGCCUCGCCGGCGAGUUUCCUCGAGCCUUGCUUGCUCAGGAAGCACACUGGUGACCAGUGGCUUCUGAUUGCACUUUUAGGCGCCUGGGCCCCCCUCCUCCAGCUUUCUUCCCGAUAUGUCCACACAGAUACUCAAGGGGCACGAGUUCGCUGGUCUUUGCUCAAGGUUGCACCUCUGAUGUUGAUGGAUAUGGCAGCAGCCACCCAAGCCUGCUGAACUGAUAACACCAGGAACUGGUAACACCAAAGGCACCAAAAAAGCAGCCAGUAGCUGGAGGUGGUGACAUGAAAGACAAUUAUCCAGAGUAUGACAGGGAAGUGAAAUGCCAGGAGCUGCCGUGUCCAGUGGCCAACGAUUCCUGAGGCAUGCUGGUAGCUGCCUGCUUCAAGCAACAAGGAGGGCUGCUAACGCCAACAAUGGUGGUAGAAGAGCCACCAUCACCCAUUGGCAUUCAAAGCCCAGCACUGUUAACAACAAAGGAGGUACACUGUGCAAAUUUGUGAUUUGUUUACAAAUUGAGCAAGAGUCUUCAGCUGAUUAAUAACAUUUUGGAAGCUGUCUGCUCUAGAGGGCCCUGAAGAAGAGGGCAGGUGGCUUGAUAGCCACCUCCAGGCUCAAGAAUCAGCCCACAUCUGAUUUCCAUCUUAAAUGUGACUAAGAAUCCACACUAGCCAGUGACACUUUCUUACACUUUAGAGGAGUCAGAUGUUCCUCCCUGCCUGUAAUACACAGGCUCUCCUCCACCUGUCUUUUUCUGGCCCCAUCCCUUUUAUUCAUUUUCAGACAGUCUUGCUAAGUUGCCCAGGCCAGCCUUGAGCUUUUAAUCCUUCUGCCAAGUACCUGGGAUUACAGAUGUGCACCACUAUGCUCAGUUUAACACACUUUUUAAUUGUUUACUUGUAUGUUUAUCAGGACAGAUACCUUCACUUAAUCUGCAUAUUCAAAUCCAUUAGCUCACUCUUUAAACACACAGAAAGCAGUGUGUGUUAUGCUUCAGAAUGGGAGGUAUAGUGUAUAUGUAAGGUGUGUGCUGUGGGAGAUUGGAUGAACUCAGGUGGAAUGUCCUUAGGCGCUUCUAUGAAAAAGUUUAGGUAAACAAUGUGUAAAAGACUCAGAAACUUAUUUUUUCUCCUUAUCAAUACUUCAAGUAAAAGGGAAAAGUUUAAGAAUAGCAGAAUUGAUUAAAAAUUAAUUUAGCUAUUUCUGGCUAUAGUGUAGCCAAAACUGGGCUUUAAGUCCCUGACAAAUAUUCCAUGCAACUGUUAACCUCUCACAUGUGGGUUAUGAUGACAUCUACAGCAGAGCUAGUGGGAG
rnacentral:lncRNA from 1 species